UCAAUUAGAAAAUUAAGGAAAGUUUUAUAUAGUUUUUUUUCCCUGUCAGGACGAACGCUGGCGGCGUGCCUAAUACAUGCAAGUCGAGCGGACAGAAGGGAGCUUGCUCCCGGAUGUUAGCGGCGGACGGGUGAGUAACACGUGGGUAACCUGCCUGUAAGACUGGGAUAACUCCGGGAAACCGGAGCUAAUACCGGAUAGUUCCUUGAACCGCAUGGUUCAAGGAUGAAAGACGGUUUCGGCUGUCACUUACAGAUGGACCCGCGGCGCAUUAGCUAGUUGGUGGGGUAAUGGCUCACCAAGGCGACGAUGCGUAGCCGACCUGAGAGGGUGAUCGGCCACACUGGGACUGAGACACGGCCCAGACUCCUACGGGAGGCAGCAGUAGGGAAUCUUCCGCAAUGGACGAAAGUCUGACGGAGCAACGCCGCGUGAGUGAUGAAGGUUUUCGGAUCGUAAAGCUCUGUUGUUAGGGAAGAACAAGUGCGAGAGUAACUGCUCGCACCUUGACGGUACCUAACCAGAAAGCCACGGCUAACUACGUGCCAGCAGCCGCGGUAAUACGUAGGUGGCAAGCGUUGUCCGGAAUUAUUGGGGCGUAAAGGGCUCGCAGGCGGUUUCUUAAGUCUGAUGUGAAAGCCCCCGGCUCAACCGGGGAGGGUCAUUGGAAACUGGGAAACUUGAGUGCAGAAGAGGAGAGUGGAAUUCCACGUGUAGCGGUGAAAUGCGUAGAGAUGUGGAGGAACACCAGUGGCGAAGGCGACUCUCUGGUCUGUAACUGACGCUGAGGAGCGAAAGCGUGGGGAGCGAACAGGAUUAGAUACCCUGGUAGUCCACGCCGUAAACGAUGAGUGCUAAGUGUUAGGGGGUUUCCGCCCCUUAGUGCUGCAGCUAACGCAUUAAGCACUCCGCCUGGGGAGUACGGUCGCAAGACUGAAACUCAAAGGAAUUGACGGGGGCCCGCACAAGCGGUGGAGCAUGUGGUUUAAUUCGAAGCAACGCGAAGAACCUUACCAGGUCUUGACAUCCUCUGACAACCCUAGAGAUAGGGCUUUCCCUUCGGGGACAGAGUGACAGGUGGUGCAUGGUUGUCGUCAGCUCGUGUCGUGAGAUGUUGGGUUAAGUCCCGCAACGAGCGCAACCCUUGAUCUUAGUUGCCAGCAUUCAGUUGGGCACUCUAAGGUGACUGCCGGUGACAAACCGGAGGAAGGUGGGGAUGACGUCAAAUCAUCAUGCCCCUUAUGACCUGGGCUACACACGUGCUACAAUGGACAGAACAAAGGGCUGCAAGACCGCAAGGUUUAGCCAAUCCCAUAAAUCUGUUCUCAGUUCGGAUCGCAGUCUGCAACUCGACUGCGUGAAGCUGGAAUCGCUAGUAAUCGCGGAUCAGCAUGCCGCGGUGAAUACGUUCCCGGGCCUUGUACACACCGCCCGUCACACCACGAGAGUUUGCAACACCCGAAGUCGGUGAGGUAACCUUUAUGGAGCCAGCCGCCGAAGGUGGGCAGAUGAUGGGGGACUAAGGCGGGGGGGGGGUGUGAGAAAAAAUAAAAAAAGAAAAAAAAACAAAAAGUUU
rnacentral:rRNA from 1 species